GACGAACGCUGGCGGCGUGCCUAAUACAUGCAAGUUGAGCGCUGAAGGUUGGUACUUGUACCAACUGGAUGAGCAGCGAACGGGUGAGUAACGCGUGGGGAAUCUGCCUUUGAGCGGGGGACAACAUUUGGAAACGAAUGCUAAUACCGCAUAAAAACUUUAAACACAAGUUUUAAGUUUGAAAGAUGAAAUUGCAUCACUCAAAGAUGAUCCCGCGUUGUAUUAGCUAGUUGGUGAGGUAAAGGCUCACCAAGGCGAUGAUACAUAGCCGACCUGAGAGGGUGAUCGGCCACAUUGGGACUGAGACACGGCCCCAACUCCUACGGGAGGCAGCAGUAGGGAAUCUUCGGCAAUGGACGAAAGUCUGACCGAGCAACGCCGCGCGAGUGAAGAAGGUUUUCGGAUCGUAAAACUCUGUUGGUAGAGAAGAACGUUGGUGAGAGUGGAAAGCUCAUCAAGUGACGGUAACUACCCAGAAAGGGACGGCUAACUACGUG
rnacentral:rRNA from 1 species